rnacentral:rRNA from 1 species
UACGAAGGGGGCUAGCGUUGUUCGGAUUUACUGGGCGUAAAGCGCACGUAGGCGGAUCGUUAAGUCGGGGGUGAAAUCCUGGAGCUCAACUCCAGAACUGCCUUCGAUACUGGCGAUCUAGAGUCCGGAAGAGGUGAGUGGAACUCCUAGUGUAGAGGUGGAAUUCGUAGAUAUUAGGAAGAACACCAGUGGCGAAGGCGACUUACUGGACACAUAUUGACGCUGAGGUGCGAAAGCGUGGGGAGCAAACAGG